rnacentral:tRNA from 1 species
GGAGUCGUUGCCGUAGUCACGGGAAACUCGCGGAAAACUCGCGGUUGGUGCGUCGUAGGCCAUCUCGUUCGCAACGAGAAGGUCAGGGGUUCGAAUCCCCUCAGCUCCACCA